rnacentral:rRNA from 1 species
CCUACGGGAGGCAGCAGUGGGGAAUAUUGCACAAUGGGGGGAACCCUGAUGCAGCCAUGCCGCGUGAAUGAAGAAGGCCUUCGGGUUGUAAAGUUCUUUCGGUAGCGAGGAAGGCAUUUAGUUUAAUAGACUAGAUGAUUGACGUUAACUACAGAAGAAGCACCGGCUAACUCCGUGCCAGCAGCCGCGGUAAUACGGGGGGUGCGAGCGUUAAUCGGAAUAACUGGGCGUAAAGGGCACGCAGGCGGUGACUUAAGUGAGAUGUGAAAGCCCCGGGCUUAACCUGGGAAUUGCAUUUCAUACUGGGUCGCUAGAGUACUUUAGGGAGGGGUAGAAUUCCACGUGUAGCGGUGAAAUGCGUAGAGAUGUGGAGGAAUACCGAAGGCGAAGGCAGCCCCUUGGGAAUGUACUGACGCUCAUGUGCGAAAGCGUGGGGAGCAAACAGGAUUAGAUACCCCAGUAGUC